rnacentral:rRNA from 1 species
AUUGAACGCUAGCGGGAUGCCUUACACAUGCAAGUCGAACGGAGUGGCGAACGGGUGCGUAAUGUAUCGGAACGUGCCCAGUAGCGGGGGAUAACUACGCGAAAGCGUAGCUAAUACCGCAUAAUAUUUGAGCGGCCGAUAUCGGAUUAGCUAGUUGGUGGGGUAACGUCUCACCAAGGCGACGAUCCGUAGCUGGUUUGAGAGGACGAACAGCAACCUGGGGACUGAGACACGGCCCAGACUCCUACGUGAGGCAGCAGUGGGAAAUUUUGGACAAUUGGGGAAACCCUGAUCCAGCCAUGCAGCGUGUGCGAGGAAGGCCUUCGGGUUGUAAAGCACUUUUGGCAGGAAAGCGGUACCUGCAGAAUAAGCACCGGCUAACUACGUGCCAGCAGCCGCGGUAAUUC